AACAUUUCAACUGAUAUUAACCUUUUUUCCAUUUGUCAACUCCUCAUCAACAUAUAUUUGAAGACCAUAAAAGCCCUAUUUUAAAACAAUUUUAAUGGAGUUCCACACUUGUGCUUAGAGGCGGAUCCAGAUAUUUUUUGAAGCCUGGGCAAAUUUUGGCAAAAUUGGUUGCAUUGGACCCUUCAAUAUAUAUGUCAUUUUCACUUCGUCUUGAAUAUUCGAAGCAUACUCAUUAAUUUGUUUCCUACGACCUGGAUCACGCACAAUAUCAUUUGGAUUAAACUCAUUGGUCACAUUAGGCGGUGAUUCUACUUCAGCUUCCGUUUGCACAACAUUCACAUUCUUAAUACUUGCUUUAUCAACAAAAAAUUUCUUCAUCUCUAAAAUUUAAUGAUCUAAAGAAGCAACAAAGAAAAGCACAAUUAGAAAUUAGAAUCAAAUUAAAAAAGCACUAAAAGUCAACACUAAUAAACAAAUACAAUGAGAUCAAUAAUGCACACAUGCUUUUAAUGGGGAAGAAUACCACCUCCAUCCACCCACCCACCCACAAUACUACUUAUAAAAAAAAUUGCCUCUCCACAUUCAAAUUUCCAAUUUUCCAAAGCCACAAAUUUGCUAUUAUUCACAUUCCAAUUUCCAAUAUAAUUGUUACUACUAUAAUGCUAUAAUUACUAUCCACUCACUUCUACCUCACCCACAUUCCACAUUCCAUUUUUUUUUUUAUAAUUGCUAUAUAAUGCAAUCAAACCUGCAAAUAACCACAUUAACUUCAAAUUGCUAUCCACUUACUUCAGCCUCACACCACGCCCUCACCUCACCCACAUAACCUCACGCCACACCCUCACCUCACUCACUUCUGCCUCACCCACCUAACCUCACACCACAUUCUCUGUCUCUCACUCUCUAAAAACUCACAAAUUCAUCUCAAAUUCUCCAAUUUGCCACGCUAUCACAAGCUCUCUGCCUCACAGCCUCACUCAAAGUCAAAUUCAUGUGUCUCACUCACUCAAAUUCAUGUUUCUCACCCACUCUCCAACAACAAGCCCUCAAAACGCCCUCACAAGCUCUCUGCCUCAUGCGGUCAUGCCCUCACUCACUCUCUGUCUCUCUCACUCUCUCUCAAGUUCAUGAUCUCCACAGACCACAACCACCUGUAUGAUUCACUUCUCACCCACACACAACCCUCUUCACAGUUCACUCACCCACGGUGUCCAAAAGGAAGAAGCGGGUGAUCGAUGCUACGGAAACUGAAUAGGAAAACAGAGGAAACAAGCGCAGAAAGCUUCGAAAGCAUUAUUGCAGUUACAUUGAUAAGCAAUUGAGCAGUUAUGUUAGGGUUUGAAUUGGAGAAGAGGAAAAAACGUACCAUGGUUGAUGAAGAAGCCUCAACAGUGCACGAGAGAGAGGAGUUUUGCCCAAAGGGCCCUAUGGCCCAAAUAAAAAUUAUUUUUUUGGCCAUGGAGCCUGGGCAUGUGCCCAAGCUGGUCGGGCGGUAAAUCCGCCACUACUUGUGCUCCUCUCCUCCGGCAACCAUUUAGUAAAUCCACCUUGUUCCAUCCUAGCAUCAACGUUAGUACUAAGCUUCUCCCCGCAAAUGCCAACCACCACCAUCAUCAUCUUCUUAGUGGUAGUGUGCUCUGUAAUGUUUGGUGCUUACUCCACCCGAGCGGCUUGACUCGAUGUCCAUCCUGGAUGGAACCAAGGGACUUGAGCUUUCUCCAGACAAAUUUGAUCCAAAAAGAUGCUAAGUUGUUCACGGUAAAAGUGAAGAUAUACAGCUAUCAUGGAUGCGGUGCGUGCAACACCCAACCCUAGCAUGACACACCAUGUGAUAUACAUCGAUUGUGGACUUUACAAUGACAUUGUCUAUAUGGGUUCUAAUAAGUGGAAUAUUAAGAUGAUUAGAGAGGGGAUGCAUCUCACUAUCAUCUCCAAAAACUUGAGUUGCCAACAUCAACAUUUGAAUCCUUACGACACAACAACUUUUGGUGUUGAAGGAUCGGAAUAGGGUUUAUGACACAAAAUAUUUCAUUUAGGAACACUCUCGGGCCUAAGGAGAGCAAUCUGUGGCACUACGAUCAACCUUUGACCGCGGUAUCUUCUAUCGGUGUGAAAUUUAUGGUUAUCAAGACACCCCCUACAUUCACUUCAUGAGGCAACUUCUGCAUCGAAUUUGUCGAAUUCUUCAUCAGGGAUCACCACCCCCACCACCCUCCUCCUCAGAGGCCAUACCCUCCUUCCCCUUAUGGUUUAGUGGGUUCUCUUGCUAGGGUUUCUUCUCAUACUGAGGACCCCAGUGAGGUUUUCAAGCACAAUGCUAUCAAUAAGCUUGUGGAGAUGGUGCAUAACGAUGUUACCGCGUUGAGGAAGACGAGGGCAUGGAUUGAGGAAAUGUUUUGGUUAGAUUAUCUUAGAGGUUGAUCACUGAUGGGCCAAUGUCUGAUGUAAUGAUGUUGUAAACUAAAUGUACUUUUGAUUUUGUGUAUAAUUUUUGUGUACACAAUACACAAAAUCGAUUCACACUUAUAGAAGCUAAGGGAAAUAGUUUUUGUGCACCAUAAUUUUGGUUCAA